AUUGAACGCUGGCGGCAUGCCUUACACAUGCAAGUCGAACGGUAACAGCACUUCGGUGGCUGACGAGUGGCGAACGGGUGAGUAAUACAUCGGAACGUGCCCGAGAGUGGGGGAUAACGCAGCGAAAGCUGUGCUAAUACCGCAUACGAUCUACGGAUGAAAGCAGGGGACCGCAAGGCCUUGCGCUCACGGAGCGGCCGAUGGCAGAUUAGGUAGUUGGUGGGAUAAAAGCUUACCAAGCCGACGAUCUGUAGCUGGUCUGAGAGGACGACCAGCCACACCGGGACUGAGACACGGCCCAGACUCCUACGGGAGGCAGCAGUGGGGAAUUUUGGACAAUGGGCGAAAGCCUGAUCCAGCCAUGCCGCGUGCAGGAUGAAGGCCUUCGGGUUGUAAACUGCUUUUGUACGGAACGAAAAGGUCUUUUCUAAUAAAGAAGGCUCAUGACGGUACCGUAAGAAUAAGCACCGGCUAACUACGUGCCAGCAGCCGCGGUAAUACGUAGGGUGCAAGCGUUAAUCGGAAUUACUGGGCGUAAAGCGUGCGCAGGCGGUUAUAUAAGACAGAUGUGAAAUCCCCGGGCUCAACCUGGGAACUGCAUUAGUGACUGUAUAGCUAGAGUGCGGCAGAGGGGGAUGGAAUUCCGCGUGUAGCAGUGAAAUGCGUAGAUAUGCGGAGGAACACCGAUGGCGAAGGCAAUCCCCUGGGCCUGCACUGACGCUCAUGCACGAAAGCGUGGGGAGCAAACAGGAUUAGAUACCCUGGUAGUCCACGCCCUAAACGAUGUCAACUGGUUGUUGGGGAUUUACUUUCUCAGUAACGAAGCUAACGCGUGAAGUUGACCGCCUGGGGAGUACGGCCGCAAGGUUAAAACUCAAAGGAAUUGACGGGGACCCGCACAAGCGGUGGAUGAUGUGGUUUAAUUCGAUGCAACGCGAAAAACCUUACCCACCUUUGACAUGUAUGGAAGAUCGCAGAGACGCGAUUGUGCUCGAAAGAGAGCCAUAACACAGGUGCUGCAUGGCUGUCGUCAGCUCGUGUCGUGAGAUG
rnacentral:rRNA from 1 species